GGCCCAGAUCGUUUACCGUGAAAAAAUUAGAGUGUUCAAAGCAGGCAGAUUCAAUUUUCUGCCACCGAAUACAUUAGCAUGGGAUAAUGGAAUAGGACCCUGUCCUCCUAUUUUCAGUUGGUUUUGGCAGCGCGAGGACUAGGGUAAUGAUUAAUAGGGAUAGUUGGGGGCAUUAAUAUUUAAUUGUCAGAGGUGAAAUUCUUGGAUUUAUGAAAGAUUAACUUCUGCGAAAGCAUCUGCCAAGGAUGUUUUCAUUAAUCAAGAACGAAAGUUAGGGGAUCGAAGACGAUCAGAUACCGUCGUAGUCUUAACCAUAAACGAUGCCGACCAGCGAUUAGGAGACGUUGAAUACAAAACACCACCAUCGGCGCGGUCGUCCUUGGCGUUCGUGUUCACGCACGAGCGCGAGGGCGGCUUAGCCCGAUGGCACCGGUGAAUGACUCCCCUAGCAGCUUGUGAGA
rnacentral:rRNA from 1 species